rnacentral:rRNA from 1 species
UACGAAGGGGGCUAGCGUUGCUCGGAAUUACUGGGCGUAAAGCGCACGUAGGCGGGUCGUUAAGUCGGGGGUGAAAUCCUGGAGCUCAACUCCAGAACUGCCCUCGAAACUGGCGAUCUUGAGUUCGGGAGAGGUGAGUGGAACUGCGAGUGUAGAGGUGAAAUUCGUAGAUAUUCGCAAGAACACCAGUGGCGAAGGCGGCUGACUGGACCAUUACUGACGCUGAGGCGCGAAAGCGUGGGGAGCAAACAGG